CAGCAGCCGCGGUAAUACGAAGGGGGCUAGCGUUGUUCGGAAUUACUGGGCGUAAAGCGCACGUAGGCGGAUCUUUAAGUCAGAGGUGAAAUCCCAAGGCUCAACCUUGGAACUGCCUUUGAUACUGGGGAUCUUGAGUCCGGAAGAGGUGAGUGGAACUGCGAGUGUAGAGGUGAAAUUCGUAGAUAUUCGCAAGAACACCAGUGGCGAAGGCGGCUCACUGGUCCGGUACUGACGCUGAGGUGCGAAAGCGUGGGGAGCAAACAGGAUUAGAUACCCCCGUAGUCCCUGUCUCUUAUAC
rnacentral:rRNA from 1 species